rnacentral:rRNA from 1 species
GACGAACGCUGGCGGCGUGCUUAACACAUGCCAGUCGAACGGAAAGGCCCUGCUCUUGUGGGGUUCUCGAGUGGCGAACGGGUGAGUAACACGUGUGUAACCUGCCCUUGACUUUGGGAUAACUCCAGGAAACUGGGGCUAAUACCGGAUAUGAGCUCCUGCUGCAUGGUGGGGGUUGGAAAGUUUCGGCGGUUGGGGAUGGACUCGCGGGUUAUCAGCUUGUUGGUGUGGUAGUGGCUUACCAAGGCUUUGACGGGUAGCCGGCCUGAGAGGGUGACCGGCCACAUGGGGACUGAGGGACGGCCCAGAAUCCUACGGGAGGCAGUAGUGGGGAAUAUUGCACAAUGGGCGGAAGCCUGAUGCAGCAACGCCGCGUGCGGGAUGACGGCCUUCGGGUUGUAAACCGCUUUCGCAUGUGACGAAGCGUGAGUGACGGUAAUGGGUAAAGAAGCACCGGCUAACUACGUG